rnacentral:lncRNA from 1 species
CAGGUCUUCUCCUCUGUGACUUCUUCUUUUUGUAAAGACACUUAUUGGAUUUAGGGCCCACCAGAUAAUCCAGGGUAAUCUCAUCUCAAGAUCCUUAACUUUACCCCUGCAAAGUAGAUUUUCCAAAUAAGGUCACAUUCACAGGCUCCAUGCGAAUGUGUUUUGUGGGAAACCAUAUUUUGUGGGAGACCAUCCCCCAACCCACUAUACAGGGACUUCCACAUUGUAAGGUAAAUGGAAUUUCUGCUCAGACAACUAUUAAAAGCUGCUUCUUUUUCUUUUUACACAGUGCUGUGGAAAAAUAGUUUAAAAACUAAAAUAACUUCUGAAUGCCUUCCUGUUCUAAUGGGUAAUGAAAUGCUUUUAUCCAUUAUAAUGGUUUCCAGUAACUUUUGCAUGGCCACACAUGUGAAAGAAAUCCUGGGAAAGAUGGGUCCCUAUUGGUGCGGCGUGGACCUUUGCAGCCUGUCACAUAGAUGCAAUAGAUUACAGGGGAUUUCAAAUUCCCACCCACAGCUCAGAACUCCACCCUUUUCUUUCCUCCUGCUCAGAGACACUCUGGCUCUUGGAGACCUCAUGUCUGCACCUAUUUCUUUAGUCAUGAGGCCUCCCCGCUGUCUGCAGUUCUCAAGCCAUGCAGCAGUAGAAAAGUCUUCCCCUUGACCUUGCAAAUCAUAGUUAGGACAAUUACUUGAUCAGUCUCCCAGGUGAAAGAAAUGAAAGGCAGAAACUUUUCAUCAGUCCAUCGUACCUAUACAACGGUUGGUUGCCUAAAGAUAUUCUGAUAAAUUUUGAAGAGACGCGAAAAGGAGCAGGAGACUGGGUUUUGGUUAGAAGAAGUUGUCUAAAGAGCAGGUGGUCUACAGAGACACUGAGUGAAGGGGCUAUGCUAUGCCAGGAGCACUUAGGGCCCCACUCAACCCCGGAGGUAUCCUCAGCAUCAGAGCCUUCUUUCCAGGAUGCAGACCUGGCGUGGGAAGAAAUUCCUACCCUGCCGUGAUCUAAGACCCGGUGUAUGUCAGGGCAUUUUGACACCUGCAGGCACGGUGAACCACAGCCUGGCUCUGGCGUGUGUAAGCAAACACAAUUAAGUCCAUUCUCUCAAAGCCAGGACGUGGCCUUUUUUGUCUGUUGUGAUGGGACAGGAGCCAAUGGGUGAGGAUCCCACAGAAGACAGUGCGAUUGCUUUAAAAUGAAGCACGAAUGCCCUUUCCUUUCCUGUUCAAGGGAGAGAAGCACAGCUGAGAUUAAACCACCUACAACUUGACCACACCUGGGGCCUUUGUUAUAUUUAUAUAAGUGGGCAAACUCCUUUCAUUCUUCCAUGCCGAUCAGAACACCAGGUGUCAGUCAUUCAGCCUUUUUUUCUUUCUCUCUUUUUAUUUUGGCUGUUUGUGUUUUUCAUAUUACAAAAGUAAUGCAGCAUCUUUUUUAAAACGUAGAAACUAUAAAUAAAUAAAGACAAAGGAAAAUCGCCUGUAAUCUUACCACAGAGCAGGAUCCAUUCUGAACACUUCUGGUUCUGCUCCUGCAAUUGCUUUUUUUAUGCCUAGAUACACACCCCUGUGGGUUUCUUACAAAAAAUGGGUAUGAACGCACUCACUGUUUUUUCCUGCUCCGUUGGCACUACACUAUGUGUUUGCCUGAAUAUCUUUCCACAGUUGUGCCAGAUCUCAUCUGCCCGCCUGUAUUGGUUGAACGGUGCCCUCCUCCCGAAAGACAUGUCCACUCAGAAGCUGUGAAUGUGACCUUAUUUGGAAAAAGGCCAUUGCAGUUGUGAGUACAUUAAGGAUUUCAAUAUAAGAUCAUGCUGGAUUAGCUGGGCGCACCCUAAACCCAAUGGCAAGUGUUCUUAGAAGAGAAGGAAGGAGAAAAACAGAGGAGAAGGCCAUGGGAAGAGAAGCAGGGAUUUGAGUGAUGUGUCUGCAAGCCAAGAAAGGCCAAGGAUGGCUGGCAGCCCCCAGGAGCCAGGAGAGAGGCGUGGACGGAUUCUCCCUCAGAACCUCCAGAGGGGACCCGUUGAUUUUAGACUCGAUUUUAGGCUUCCAGCCUCCAGAACGGAACAAAUUGGCAAGAAGUCAAAGGAGCAAGAUGUCCACGAGGAAGAGCAGCUCCUCUGCACUUCCUCCCAGGCCUGCCCGCCAGGCGCCAUAUGUAGGCGCAGGCUCCAGUGAGCAAGGUGCUAGGCUCUGGUGUGUGUGACAGCAGAACUCCAGCCUCUCCUCUCCGCCUCCGCUCUCAAGAACUAACAUCAAGAAAGAUGUCUCCCCACCUUGUAUUUAUUCAUCCCUGUAUUCACUCAGCCCAGCAUGAUAUUUAAAAAUACGUGCUCAAGAGUCCAACUGCCUGGGUUCAAAUCCUAACCCCAACACUUACUAGCUGUGUGACUUGGGAAAGCUAUUCAAACCUCCUGUGUCUUCGUUUCCUCCUCUGUAAAAUGAGGCUAUUACUAGUUUCCAACCCAAAAGACUGUUGGGGGGACUGAAAGAGCUAAGGCGUGUAAAGCACUUUAGAAUCGUGCCUGGGACGUGUUAGGAACUAAAUACACAUUGUCUCUUAUUAGUUGAGAAAUGCUUCUCAACCACCAUGUUCCAGUACAAGAGAUACAGCCCGUUCUCUCAGCCUAUUGGAAGAUGGACGAGGAAGCCACACAAGAUGACCAGGGCACCACUGGGGUUCGGGGACCUAGGUGGGUGGACGUCCAGAUCAGUCUGGGGUGGAGGAAGAGACUCAAGGAAGACUUUCCAGAAGGAAUGACCUGUGCCCUGAAUUUCUAAUGACAAAUAAGAUCUCACUAGGUGAAGAAAGCCAGGGAAAGGAGAGAGGAGAAAACCGGAGAAAAGCGACCUUGGCUGGUGGUUCUGUAAGGUUAGAGCAGAUCAUGGGAGACUCCCAGUGGCAGAGAGGGUGCAGCCGAACCACGAAGGGUCUUUUCCGCCGUCCUUAGGAAUUUAAGCUUUUUAGGAAUUUUAUUUAGGAAUAUAAGCCAAGGUGGGGUCCUGAAAGGUUUUAAACUAGCUGACCCCCUGAAGGGUUAACAAACCAGCAUUCCACUGUCCGUCCUCAUCUUUAUAGUAUAUCUGAAAGAAAACUUGUUUUUUUUCUUUUGUCAUCUCAAAAAUAUUUGUAGUAACACUUGUCUGGGUCUUGAAUUGUGAUCCAUUUUUACUGAAGCGUAGUUAUGAUUUCGUAGGGGCAGCUGGCUAGAUAAUAAAUGCUGGCUCCUGCGAGAUUUUCUCCCCAUUUCUUUUCUCAUUUUGUGCCAUCAUUUCCAAAAAGGGCCCGCCGAUUGUAUUUCUUCAUCUGAGGUCCCUGACGUGGACGGACACACGGCGGAGCCUUCUGCAGCAUAUAGGGCAAACCGCUUGGCUGAGCUGUCAAGUCCGUGCAAGGGUAAUCAGCAGAUUUAUUUGAGGAAAUGUAUUUAUGGGACUAAAUGGCUGUUCUAAAUGGGGCCAUUAUCUGGCCUUUUCGCUGUUGCUAUAAAUGUCCCUGCAGAACGUGGAUACCCACAAUAAGUCCAUCACGCUUCCCGGACACGACUUCAAGACAAUAUUUAUGCUAGUUCCAGUCAAUGCACAUGCAUGUGUGGGGGUCAUUUCAGUAGUGUUUCUCGAACACUUAGGCACAAACUCAAUGCCAGAGGCUUUAUUAAACAUUUCCAGGGCAAUCAAAGGCAGAAAGAGGAGGAAAAGCAGAGAUUUGCUGAAUAGUCAAAGGAGAGUAGGGGUUGAAAUGCAAUCCUAAAUUAUUCACAACCUGGUAUAAGCCCAGGAGAAAUCAUAACUAUACAUCCUGGCGUCACUUCAAAGGACACCAUCUUUCUUCUGGAGCCGGGAGUGCCCGCUCCAUCGAGUUCAGUGAGAAAAAGCCCAGCUGAUUGGGGAAUUUCCAGGAGGCCAUCUGCAAGGAACAGGAGGCUGAAACUUCCCAGGCUAAACCCCUCUGAAGGCGUUGGAUAGCCACACCUCCAUCAACAGAGAAACUCUUGGUUUCCAUGGUUCUGGACCCCACUCUGCGAAUACACUCUGAGACAUAGAUGCUUUGAGAUUUCUUAGAGAAUGUCUGUGCCAAACCCCAAAAUACCCUUUCCAUAUGUUCUUGUUUUGCUUCCCCACCUCUAAAGCUUGU